GAUGAACGCUGGCGGCGUGCCUAAUACAUGCAAGUAGAACGCUGAAGGAAGGAGCUUGCUCUUUCCGGAUGAGUUGCGAACGGGUGAGUAACGCGUAGGUAACCUGCCUGGUAGCGGGGGAUAACUAUUGGAAACGAUAGCUAAUACCGCAUAACAGUAGAUGUUGCAUGAUAUCUACUUAAAAGGUGCAAUUGCACCACUACCAGAUGGACCUGCGUUGUAUUAGCUAGUUGGUGAGGUAACGGCUCACCAGGGCGACGAUACAUAGCCGACCUGAGAGGGUGAUCGGCCACACUGGGACUGAGACACGGCCCAGACUCCUACGGGAGGCAGCAGUAGGGAAUCUUCGGCAAUGGACGGAAGUCUGACCGAGCAACGCCGCGUGAGUGAAGAAGGUUUUCGGAUCGUAAAGCUCUGUUGUAGGAGAAGAACGAGUGUGAGAGUGGAAAGUUCACACUGUGACGGUAUCUUACCAGAAAGGGACGGCUAACUACGUG
rnacentral:rRNA from 1 species